GUGUGUGUGUGUCUGCUGUUAGACAGAGAGUCCUGUGUAAGAGUGCCUCUCUAAUACAACAUUAAACACGAGACACCAAGGUGUCAUACAUCCACACACUUCCCCACAGAUAAAGAGAACAUAGUCAUUCAGAACCUGGCCUCAGCAUACCACAGUCAUCACACACACACACACACACACACCAGCUUGUCACUCCUGACCCGAGGCUUCUCAUCCACCUAACAGACUGUCUGACCCACAUCAAGUCUCCCCCACAUGACAGAGAGGGAGAGGGAGAGAGAGAGAGAACUUUUGUGAGUGUAAUGUUUACCGUUUAAUCUGUAUUGUUUCAUUCACUUUUGCUUAUUAUCUAUUUCACUUGUUUCCUAUGCCAUAUGUUUCCUCUUGAAUUGAGAGAGCGAGAGCGAGAGAGAGAGAAAGAGAAGGGGAAAGGAACAACUGCAGUGCUACUCGAAGUGAAAGAAGGAAUGAAGGAUUGAAAAAAGGGAGACAUGAGCUCUACAUGCAGCAGAUGUCACAGCGUGCUGUACAGAAACCCAGCCUACAACCCCAAACAGCAAGCAACGCAGGUGUAGAAGCACGGUGGCGAGGAAAUCAUCACUUAAACACAACGGGUGACGUCUUGCAGCCUUUCCUUUCCUCCUCUAGAGGGUUUGGAUGUCCCCGUCGUCUGAGCAGCCACCCACCCCGUCUCCUUUCCCUCCUGUCUCCAGACCCCCAUAGCCUCGUCGAUGUCUGCGUAUCACCAUUCCAGUCCAUGCAAGUGGUUCAGUCUGAACGCCCAUGUGCCCCCCACAAAUGAAGCUCUGAAGCAAAACCAUUUCCCUAGAAGCUACCGCCAGGGCUUCUACAGCCAAGCAGAGUACUUUGUGGAGCAGCCAGACAUCCAGCAAGAUGCACUACAGUCUAGCGAGAGAGGGGCUGGGGAGAGGGACU